GCCCACAUAGCUCAGGGGUAGAGCACCCCCUUGGUAAGGGGGAGGUCGAAAGUUCGAAUCUUUCUGUGGGCACCA
rnacentral:tRNA from 1 species